rnacentral:misc_RNA from 1 species
GAUGAAGAACGUAGCGAAAUGCGAUACGUAAUGUGAAUUGCAAAUUCAGUGAAUCAUCGAGUCUUUGAACGCACAUUGCGCCCCCUGGUAUUCCGGGGGGCAUGCCUGUCCGAGCGUCAUUUCUGCCCUCAAGCACGGCUUGUGUGUUGGGCCCCGUCCUCCGAUCCCGGGGGACGGGCCCGAAAGGCAGCGGCGGCACCGCGUCCGGUCCUCGAGCGUAUGGGGCUUUGUCACCCGCUCUGUAGGCCCGGCCGGCGCUUGCCGAUCAACCCAAAUUUUUAUCCAGGUUGACCUCGGAUCAGGUAGGGAUACCCGCUGAACUUAAGCAUAUCAAUAAGCGGAGGA